rnacentral:rRNA from 1 species
GGUCAAGUGAAGAAGCGCAUACGGUGGAUGCCUUGGCAGUCAGAGGCGAUGAAAGACGUGGUAGCCUGCGAAAAGCUUCGGGGAGUCGGCAAACAGACUUUGAUCCGGAGAUGUCUGAAUGGGGGAACCCAGCCAUCAUAAGAUGGUUAUCUUGUACUGAAUACAUAGGUGCAAGAGGCGAACCAGGGGAACUGAAACAUCUAAGUACCCUGAGGAAAAGAAAUCAACCGAGAUUCCCUUAGUAGUGGCGAGCGAACGGGGACUAGCCCUUAAGUGGCUUUGAGAUUAGCGGAACGCUCUGGAAAGUGCGGCCAUAGUGGGUGAUAGCCCUGUACGCGAAAAUCUCUUAGUCAUGAAAUCGAGUAGGACGGAGCACGAGAAACUUUGUCUGAAUAUGGGGGGACCAUCCUCCAAGGCUAAAUACUACUGACUGACCGAUAGUGAACUAGUACCGUGAGGGAAAGGCGAAAAGAACCCCGGAGAGGGGAGUGAAAUAGAUCCUGAAACCGUAUGCGUACAAGCAGUGGGAGCAGACUUUGUUCUGUGACUGCGUACCUUUUGUAUAAUGGGUCAGCGACUUAUUUUCAGUGGCGAGCUUAACCGAAUAGGGGAGGCGUAGCGAAAGCGAGUCUUAAUAGGGCGUCUAGUCGCUGGGAAUAGACCCGAAACCGGGCGAUCUAUCCAUGGGCAGGUUGAAGGUUAGGUAACACUGACUGGAGGACCGAACCGACUACCGUUGAAAAGUUAGCGGAUGACCUGUGGAUCGGAGUGAAAGGCUAAUCAAGCUCGGAGAUAGCUGGUUCUCCUCGAAAGCUAUUUAGGUAGCGCCUCAUGUAUCACUGUAGGGGGUAGAGCACUGUUUCGGCUAGGGGGUCAUCCCGACUUACCAAACCGAUGCAAACUCCGAAUACCUACAAGUGCCGAGCAUGGGAGACACACGGCGGGUGCUAACGUCCGUCGUGAAAAGGGAAACAACCCAGACCGUCAGCUAAGGUCCCAAAGUUAUGGUUAAGUGGGAAACGAUGUGGGAAGGCUUAGACAGCUAGGAGGUUGGCUUAGAAGCAGCCACCCUUUAAAGAAAGCGUAAUAGCUCACUAGUCGAGUCGGCCUGCGCGGAAGAUGUAACGGGGCUCAAACCAUACACCGAAGCUACGGGUAUCACGUAAGUGAUGCGGUAGAGGAGCGUUCUGUAAGCCUGUGAAGGUGAGUUGAGAAGCUUGCUGGAGGUAUCAGAAGUGCGAAUGCUGACAUGAGUAACGACAAUGGGUGUGAAAAACACCCACGCCGAAAGACCAAGGUUUCCUGCGCAACGUUAAUCGACGCAGGGUUAGUCGGUCCCUAAGGCGAGGCUGAAAAGCGUAGUCGAUGGAAAACAGGUUAAUAUUCCUGUACUUCUGGUUAUUGCGAUGGAGGGACGGAGAAGGCUAGGCCAGCUUGGCGUUGGUUGUCCAAGUUUAAGGUGGUAGGCUGGAAUCUUAGGUAAAUCCGGGAUUCUAAGGCCGAGAGCUGAUGACGAGUUGCCUUUAGGCGACGAAGUGGUUGAUGCCAUGCUUCCAAGAAAAGCUUCUAAGCUUCAGAUAACCAGGAACCGUACCCCAAACCGACACAGGUGGUUGGGUAGAGAAUACCAAGGCGCUUGAGAGAACUCGGGUGAAGGAACUAGGCAAAAUGGCACCGUAACUUCGGGAGAAGGUGCGCCGGUGAGGGUGAAGUACUUGCUACGUAAGCCCACGCCGGUCGAAGAUACCAGGCCGCUGCGACUGUUUAUUAAAAACACAGCACUCUGCAAACACGAAAGUGGACGUAUAGGGUGUGACGCCUGCCCGGUGCCGGAAGGUUAAUUGAUGGGGUUAGCUAACGCGAAGCUCUUGAUCGAAGCCCCGGUAAACGGCGGCCGUAACUAUAACGGUCCUAAGGUAGCGAAAUUCCUUGUCGGGUAAGUUCCGACCUGCACGAAUGGCGUAACGAUGGCGGCGCUGUCUCCACCCGAGACUCAGUGAAAUUGAAAUCGCUGUGAAGAUGCAGUGUAUCCGCGGCUAGACGGAAAGACCCCGUGAACCUUUACUAUAGCUUUGCACUGGACUUUGAAUUUGCUUGUGUAGGAUAGGUGGGAGGCUUUGAAGCGUGGACGCCAGUUCGCGUGGAGCCAUCCUUGAAAUACCACCCUGGCAACUUUGAGGUUCUAACUCAGGUCCGUUAUCCGGAUCGAGGACAGUGUAUGGUGGGUAGUUUGACUGGGGCGGUCUCCUCCUAAAGAGUAACGGAGGAGUACGAAGGUGCGCUCAGACCGGUCGGAAAUCGGUCGUAGAGUAUAAAGGCAAAAGCGCGCUUGACUGCGAGACAGACACGUCGAGCAGGUACGAAAGUAGGUCUUAGUGAUCCGGUGGUUCUGUAUGGAAGGGCCAUCGCUCAACGGAUAAAAGGUACUCCGGGGAUAACAGGCUGAUACCGCCCAAGAGUUCAUAUCGACGGCGGUGUUUGGCACCUCGAUGUCGGCUCAUCACAUCCUGGGGCUGAAGCCGGUCCCAAGGGUAUGGCUGUUCGCCAUUUAAAGUGGUACGCGAGCUGGGUUUAGAACGUCGUGAGACAGUUCGGUCCCUAUCUGCCGUGGACGUUUGAGAUUUGAGAGGGGCUGCUCCUAGUACGAGAGGACCGGAGUGGACGAACCUCUGGUGUUCCGGUUGUCACGCCAGUGGCAUUGCCGGGUAGCUAUGUUCGGGAAAGAUAACCGCUGAAAGCAUCUAAGCGGGAAACUUGCCUCAAGAUGAGAUCUCACUGGAACCUUGAGUUCCCUGAAGGGCCGUCGAAGACUACGACGUUGAUAGGUUGGGUGUGUAAGCGCUGUGAGGCGUUGAGCUAACCAAUACUAAUUGCCCGUGAGGCUUGACCAU